UGGACAGAUUAUUGUAUUCGACUGUAUUCACGGCAUGAAACAGGGGAUUACACUGUUUUUAAAUGGAAAGUGAAUCAAUUGACAUAAUAGACUCGU
rnacentral:pre_miRNA from 1 species